UCAUAUGUAGCAAUACAUGGCGUACUGCUCAGUAACACGUGGAUAACCUGCCCUUGGGACCGGCAUAACCCCGGGAAACUGGGGAUAAUUCCGGAUAACGCAUAUUUGCUGGAAUGCUUUAUGCGUCAAAAGGAUUCGUCUGCCCAAGGAUGGGUCUGCGGCCUAUCAGGUAGUAGUGGGUGUAAUGUACCUACUAGCCAGCGACGGGUACGGGUUGUGAGAGCAAGAGCCCGGAGAUGGAUUCUGAGACAUGAAUCCAGGCCCUACGGGGCGCAGCAGGCGCGAAAACUUUACAAUGCGGGAAACCGUGAUAAGGGGACACCGAGUGCCAGCAUCAUAUGCUGGCUGUCCGGAUGUGUAAAAUACAUCCGUUAGCAAGGGCCGGGCAAGACCGGUGCCAGCCGCCGCGGUAACACCGGCGGCCCGAGUGGUGAUCGUGAUUAUUGGGUCUAAAGGGUCCGUAGCCGGUUUGGUCAGUCCUCCGGGAAAUCUGAUAGCUCAACUAUUAGGCUUUCGGGGGAUACUGCCAGACUUGGAACCGGGAGAGGUAAGAGGUACUACAGGGGUAGGAGUGAAAUCUUGUAAUCCCUGUGGGACCACCUGUGGCGAAGGCGUCUUACCAGAACGGGUUCGACGGUGAGGGACGAAAGCUGGGGGCACGAACCGGAUUAGAUACCCGGGUAGUCCCAGCCGUAAACGAUGCUCGCUAGGUGUCAGGCAUGGCGCGACCGUGUCUGGUGCCGCAGGGAAGCCGUGAAGCGAGCCACCUGGGAAGUACGGCCGCAAGGCUGAAACUUAAAGGAAUUGGCGGGGGAGCACAACAACGGGUGGAGCCUGCGGU
rnacentral:rRNA from 1 species